rnacentral:lncRNA from 1 species
UUUGUUCAUUCUUAGCUUGUAAUUACUUACCACUUACUUGAAUGGUGCUAUUCAACUGAAUCUUCUCAAAGCCUACAAGCCUUGAUCUUAUGGACCAGCUAUAUCACAUAUUCUUUAUGCUGAUGAUUGUCUUUUAGUAGCCCGAGCUACUAUUUGCAAUACUAUUGUCUUAAAAUCUAUUAUAGAUACUUAUUGUACUGUCACGAGGCAAGUAAUUAAUUACUCUAAGUCACAUAUUAUUAUUAGCCCCA